CUCUUGUACUAACAGAUCGUACAUGUUUAGUACAAGGAGAAGGCCUAGAAAUAUGUUCCAGCCUUCAGGUGACGCUGAUCAAGAUGUAGCUUUUUUCUGUCUAAAAUCUAAGCUGGAAAUACCUGGGUAGCAUCCCAUUGAUUGGCUGGCUUGACGCAGAGCUUAUAGAAUAUUUCCAUGUUUAUCCCUCGAAUAUUGAUCGAAUAUGUAUGAAAUAUGAUGGUUAUAUGUUUCAUUCACAUUCGGUCAACGUUCGAGUGAUAAACAGAAAUAUUUGGAUCUUUACCAGCUGCAGAAAUGGCUACGGAGUCCUUUUAUAAUAGAGGUGGCUUUCCCUGCAAAGAAGUGAAAAUUGAGGGGAUGGAGCAUUAAAGAAAAAUGGAAACGUCUCCCUCGUGCUGGAUUUUGGAUAGUGGAUGGCAGGCCGAAUCUGCUACCAGCAUGCUAACGCUCAAGCUUCACAAGCAAGCAAUGACGCUGGUCUUCUACAGAUGCUCGAAACAAGAUCCCAGAGGCGCCACAAAUCCAUCACUACCCGAAUCCUGAUUAACAAAAUUUUAUCACAAUUCAAUAUCUCCACUUUUUUUGGCGGAUACCAUACAUUUCCUCAAUCAAAAUAAACAGCUGUUGAAGGUGAGCAAAAGCUGGAUGGCCAAGGCACGAUUUGAAUGCUGAAGCCUUUAUGAGGAUCCGAUCUAUUCAGGAAGUUAGCAGCUGGAUUUCUUUGGUUUCUGAUCAGCCCAGAAAACCAAUACAUGCGGUCAUAGACAGCAGCAUCUUGGCUAAUAAUGACGCGUGCCACCGUCACUGCUAUCACAUCAUUGAGGAAUCAAAACAUAAAACCAACUGUGAGAGAACCAAGGGAGAUACAUUCGUUCAAGGUUGCUACAUAAUUUGGAGAGGUGGCAAUAGGCCGUAAUGCAGUAUUGAACAGCAUCGACCUCGCUGUUCAGUUAAAAACUGUCAAAGCAUGCAGGCAUCAGAAAAAUGGCCACAGAAGUUGUUGCCUGUUGGUUUUAUGAGCAGCAUAGCUGGUGGUAUCACAUCUGAGAAAAAAAAUAACAAAAUGAUAUCCAUAAGAUGAAUAUAUCACUAGAAGUUCACUCCCUUUUCCAUCAGGAUUGUAGAACUUCAUUUAAUAAGACUUGUUUAGGGAAGAAAAAAAGAGUUUUCAUCCAAUAAUGACCUUUAAAAAGGAAUA